GGGCGGGCGGCGGCUCGGCCGCUCGCGGGCUGGCGCGGAGCGGAGCGGCCGUCGGCCACGGCGGAGCGAUGAUCCGCCGGGAAGACACUGAACGGGCAGUGGAAAUUCUGACCAGAUACCAAAGCACCCUGCAGUCCCCGGAGGAGCAGGAGUUAAAAGCUUCCAUUGGAAAAGUUUCGCACAUCUUCCAAAGUGAACUCUUCCAGGCUCUGCUGGAUAUCCAUGAAUUCUACGAUUUCACGCUGCGCUCUGCACCCGAGCAGUCUCCGAGCCUGGAUGCACGUCAUGGCACGGCCAGGGAACAGCUUGGCGACAGUGAGCCCAGCUCCACAGUCACACCCAGAGAGCCCCAAAACCUGCCUGAGGGCUGCUCCUGGGACCGUGAGCAGAGGCUCACCACAGGGGACAGCGCUGCGGGGACAGCGCCACGGCUGGUGCGGGUGACAGCCCGGCGGACAGAGGCACCAGCCAGUGUCUGCAGCCUGGUGCUCAGCUCUCACAGCACCCUGCCCCAGGACUUGAUGCGAGAGGAAGGCAGCGGCAGCAGGGGCUGAAAUGCGGUGACACCAGACCAAACCUAGCUCUGUGCCAUCUCUGUGCCUUGUAAAUAGCAUUAUCUCCGGGGAUUUCUUGACACUUUGCUGAAAUUAGCACCUGUAAAAAGAGCAGCUGCCAAAGCAGAAUUUAAACAAGACCGGUAGGAAGAGGGUAGAGAAUGAGAGAGCUCUUGAAUCACUUCCCUCCAUGAAGGCACCUGCCUGGAAAUCAGCUCCCAUCUCCUCUAGCCCUGCUCAAAGCUCACAUUACUGCAGCAAGAUGCCCACAGCUGCCUCAAGUGCUGGGCACCGUGCCUGCCCUGCCAGACACAGGCCUGGGCCCCAGUGCAGGUGCCCACUUCACUUGGUCUCCCAGCAGAGCCACCUCCAGUUCCCAAAAUGCCACCACUCACUAAAACAGGCUGGAGAAGUACAGAAUGUGGCCAACCAGCCCUGGCCUCCUCUUGAGCUUGAUUAGCUAUCCCAAGUCCUGUGCAGCAUUAGGGAACGCUGCAAGCAGGAAGCAGCAACCAUGGAUUGUUUUUUUCCCUUUUAAUUUGGGUUAGCAGGUGGCACAUGCAGUUCAUUACAAAUGCACAGGAAUGAAACAACUCUCGUGGCAGCUAAAAUGGGAAAUGUGGGGUUUGGGAUGGGGACAUGCAAGCAGGUAAGGAAGGACUCUAAAGAGCUGUGGCAGCUGAGGCUCAAAACCCCUCUGUUUGUAACUGGCAAUGAGGCACUGACAGAUAAGGGAGCUGGGGGAAGUGGUGUGGGGUGGAGGCUGUAAUUCUGGCCCUCCAGGGCUGGCAGUGAGGGUGUUUCCCAUGUGGGCAUGAAUGGCUGUGAAGGCUGCAGAGACUGAGCAUAGAGAGGACCUGACACCUUCCUUGUGGAGGAUGCACCAAAAAAAGGAGAAAAAAAUGGGAGGGAAAAAAAUCAAAUUAAGUGCUUCUCUUUAUUGUUCACCCAGCUCCUUAUUAAAGCAUUUUUCCCUAACAGCUCUUGUCCUUUGCUUCUGCACUUCCCCCCUGAGUGAAUGGCCGUGUCCUUGCCUGCCCCAUCCCAGGACAGUGACAGGGGAUGUGUCUGGAGCAGGACAGCUGUGAGCAGCUGCGGUGACAAACUCUGCUGGUGCAGCUCCCUGGUGCUCUCCUCACACCCAAGGCAGGCUAUUGCAGACUGGGGCUCCUGCCUGACCUGGGCCCAAAGGUGGCUCUGGGGAAGGCCAUGGCAGUGGGUGGCCACUGCAGGGCCCCUGGAACCUGACCAUGCCAUGCCAGGUGGGAAGCACAAUGGGAAGGAGGUUUGCAGUGGGGUGGAGCAGUAAUUAGCCAUGCCCAGAUACUGAGCACAUCUCACUGAUGAAGUUAUCUCAGAGGUGCCAAUGGGUGGAGGGCCAACAAGGAAUUCCUGUCCUUUUGCUCUCAUGAGGGAGACACUGGCCUUUUUUACAAGGCUUUUUGCUCUACUUUGGUGCAGCAAUCCUCUAUCUCAGCUUCCGUUUGGCCCCAGUCCCUCCUGUCAUUCCCAUCUGAUGGCACAAGGAUGGCCCCAGUCCCUCCCUCCCUGCUGGCUCUAUGGUGUGAGAAAGAAGUAGAAGAUGUGGAGAUAAUCCUAAUUUCUUAAAACCUGAAGUGUAAACUUCUCUCUCAAAGCCAGCACUGCACACUUCCCUGCCAUGCACUCAAACGCAGUUUUUCAUUGAUUAAUUCAGAACAAGCUUGCUUUGCAUGCAGGCAUCCCACACUGCCCUGCCCUGGUGAGCUCCUGGGCUCUGCAGUGUGCUGUGGCACUGAGCUCUGCACUGCAAACACUGUCUGGUGUGCAGCCAUUGGCUUCACUUGGUGCACCUCUUUAGGUCAGUGUCAUGGUGCCCCUGGGGCUGGUCACUGUCCAGAGAGAGCCCAGGGGAGCAGCAGGGUGAGCCAGCCGCAGGGUGAGCCAGCAGCAGGGUGAGCCUCACCUGUGGAGCUGUUCCUGAGGGCUCAGCAGCACUGCAGUGCUCAGCUGCUUGGGGAGGACAGGUGCUCCAGACUUGCUUGUCCAGGGACACUAUGACUGUCCUGAGCCUGCAGCAGGGAAAUCUCAGUGUCUGAGCCACUCCAGCCUUCUGUGGCAUUAAGCCACCUUGUGAUUGAGGUGAUCUGAGCAGCCUAGAGACAGUGACGUGCAAGCAGUGCAGGAGAGGACAGGUGCUGCACUGUGCAGUGGGGAGCAUGGUACUUGGGGGCACCAAUGCUGAUUAUGGGGUGUCUUCUGCCCCCUCCCCUUCACCCAGAAGCAACCAUUUCACUUGGCUGCUUGGGAGCAAGCCCUGCAGGAGCACCUCUGCGUGCAGAGGUGAAGUGCAGAUGUAAUUUUGUACUGCAGUUUAGAGCUGAAGGAACAGGGAGUGGGCAGGGGCAUUUAUCUGACCAGCCAUCAUACACUUCCUCCUCCCACAGCCCUGCUCCUGCCCAGGGCCAUAUUACACCAGCUGCAGGAGGCCAGGAGGAGCCUUGCUGACCUUGGAACCUGAACUGAGGUGUUGCACCACCGUAUCUUGUGGCUCAGCUUGUGGCCCCCUCCUGCUUGUGUCAUUUAGCCAUAUCCUGUGGGAGCCCAGUGCACAUUUCAUUGCUCUUCUACAUAUUUAUGUACCAUUUUUUUAAAAAAUAGUUUUUCAC
rnacentral:lncRNA from 14 species